GACGAACGCUGGCGGCGUGCUUAACACAUGCAAGUCGAACGGAGCGAAUGAAAGCUUGCUUUUAUAAGCUUAGUGGCAAACGGGUGAGUAACACGUAGGCAACCUGCCGACAGGAUGGGGACAACAUUCCGAAAGGAAUGCUAAUACCGAAUGAAGCGGAGGAGAGGCAUCUCCCCUCCGUGAAAGAUAGCCUCUUUUUAUGCUAUCACCUGUCGAUGGGCCUGCGUCUGAUUAGCUGGUAGGUGAGGUAACGGCUCACCUAGGCGACGAUCAGUAGCCGGUCUGAGAGGAUGAACGGCCACAUUGGGACUGAGACACGGCCCAGACUCCUACGGGAGGCAGCAGUGGGGAAUCUUCCGCAAUGGGCGCAAGCCUGACGGAGCAACGCCGCGUGAGUGAAGAAGGUCUUCGGAUCGUAAAGCUCUGUUGAUGGGGACGAACGUGCCUAAUGCGAAUAGUUUUAGGCAANGACG
rnacentral:rRNA from 1 species